rnacentral:tRNA from 1 species
UCCUUCGUAGCUUAGUGGGAAAGCUCCGCUCGCGGAGAUAGAGGUUCAAUUCCUCUCGAAUGCA